rnacentral:rRNA from 1 species
CCAGUUAAAUCCAACGAUCUAAUCGUUGGACUGCUGAGGAUACUGUCCGGCUAGGGGGCGGGAGAGGUCGACGGUAUCCCGGGGUAGGGGUGAAAUCCUAUAAUCCCGGAAGGACCACCAGUGGCGAAGGCUGUCGGCUAGAACAUGCCCGACGGUGAGGGAUGAAAGCUGGGGGAGCGAACCGGAUUAGAUACCCGGGUAGUCCCAGCUGUAAACGAUGCAGGCUAGGUGUUAGGGCGGCCACGUGCCGCUCUAGUGCCGCAGGGAAGCUGUUAAGCCUGCCGCCUGGGGAGUACGGCCGCAAGGCUGAAACUUAAAGGAAUUGGCGGGGGAGCACCACAAGGGGUGAAGCUUGCGGUUUAAUUGGAGUCAACGCCGGAAAUCUCACCGGGGGCGACAGCAGGAUGAAAGCCAGAUUAAAGGUCUUGCCAGACGAGCUGAGAGGAGGUGCAUGGCCGUCGCCAGUUCGUGCCGUGAGGUGUCCUGUUAAGUCAGGCAACGAUCGAGACCCGCAUCUCCAGUUGCUACCGGCCUUGAGCUGGGCACACUGGGGAGACCGCCGCCGAUAAGGCGGAGGAAGGAGCGGGCCACGGCAGGUCAGUAUGCCCCGAAUCUCCCGGGCCACACGCGAGCUGCAAUGGCAGGUACAAUGGGUUCCAACCCCGUAAGGGGGAGGCAAUCUCUAAAGCCUGCCGUAGUUGGGAUCGAGGGUUGUAACUCACCCUCGUGAACAUGGA